GUUCUUUUACGACGGAGCCUAAGAUAUUCUUUGUCUUGUCGUGAAUGCUGACCAGUGAGAUGCCAGCCUGCGUGUGAAGAUCCUACAGCAGAAGUGCAUGGCCAGUGACACAAGAACUUGCGAGAGAUGCCAGUCCGCCUGUGAAGAUCCUGCAGCAGGAGUGCAUAGCCAGUGACACAAGACGUGCGAAUGAAAACUAGAUGUGACCAUCCAGAAAAAGCAUAGACAAAAAAAUGCAGUCUUAGUACUGGGAUGUUUGAGAUGGGGUCUAUCUACAUGUCUCUAGCUGUCCCUAUCAGGACAGCAUCUGGUGUGGCCUGCAGAGUUGAUUCCUGUACUUUUUUUUUUUUGUGGGCUGUAUGUAAAUGGAUUGUUUUGACAAUCCAUUCGACAGUGUUCUCUUCUGUGAAGGUCAUAGGUGAGCUGAUUGACAGACACAGCUGUACAGACUGAAUGCAAUCCUGACUAUAAAGCUGCAGUUCAUCAUUAUGAGCUAUUUCCUUAUUCUGGCAGUGAUUGAAAUAAAAUGGGGAGUAUUGAAAUAAAAAACAUUCAAUUGCAAAUA
rnacentral:lncRNA from 1 species